rnacentral:lncRNA from 1 species
AUCGCGAGAUCUAAGUAUGGCCCCAGCGACCAUGGCCCAAUCUCGCGCAAUGAUUGCGCCACAGAUAUUCCCAUCCCCCACACAGAGAGGCGCCUUUGACUCCCCCCUCCAGAUAGGCGUCCAUAUCUCGCGAGAUCGCGCAAGUUGCUAGAGCAAAGACAGUUGGUACAGUUCCUGUCAAUCUUUCAGGAAACUCAACGCUGAGUGGAGGUCGGUGGUCACCACCUCCUCGUGGCGCCUUCUCAUAGCUAUCUGAAGGUUUCCCCCUCAGAACGGACCACCCAUCCACCCACUGGGCCACCUACCCAGUUGUCUGUCAAGGUCGCCAUAAGACAGUCUAAUCCAUAUGGCGAAAGAAUAAAAGGAAAACGGUCAUGUGCAGAUCAUCCGGGAAGGAUGAAGACGAAGUGAAAGCAUGUAAGAGAGAAGGCGAGAAUGAGACCGUACAGGGGUAGGAGGCUAGGACUGUAGAGUAAAAAUUAGAUUUCCUGUCGUUUUGGAGCCAGUGGGACUAGGCACUGCUUCGACUGUCGGGCUUCAAAAUACCCUUGGAAGUAGUGGAGAAAGGCAAAAAGAAGGUGAAAAAACAAACUACCACCCUUGGCAGUGGAUCAGCUUUGUGCCCCCCGCAUUUAUAGGCUGGCCUUGUGUCGGAGUUGCUAUUGUUUCUUCAAAAAUGUCUCCCAUUCCCCUGGGACUUGACUCCUCGCCCCUGAAGUCUUUCACAUGCCUGGCAAUUAGAGUAUAAAUUUCACCGUUGGUUCUUUGGUCAAUACUGUGAAAAAGAAGGGGGAACAGAGAGGUAAUUGACUAUAAGGCUUUUUCUUCCAAGAUAAAAAUGUUUGGAAAAAAAUUAGAAAGAUGACUUACAAGCAAAAAAUCUUAACAGAAGUCUUUAAUAGCUUAAUGAUUGAGAGCAAAUAUUUGAAAUGAGAUAUCUUGGUUCCUGUAGCUGCUUCAACACUGUGUGACCUUGGACAAGUAAAUCAACCUCUCACUGCCUAUCCUGCAUUUCCUCCUAUGAAGAAGAGGGUAAUAUAAUUACUAAGCUAAUAUACUGACUUGUUAAUUUUGCAAAUAUCACAGCAUCAAGGUGGCCCCUUCUUAAUUUUUUGUUUCUGUGGUAACGUAGUGCUGAAGUUGAUCUUACCCUCUGGACUUAUUUGGGAAGAAGAAGUUUCUAAGCUCCAAGUCACUUGAAGAUUGAAUAUUCCUUAAAUUGUUUUCUGUUCAAGGACCAUCAGAGUGAACCUAGCAAUUUAGCGCACAAUCAAGAAACACCACCUGGAAAACUCAUUAUGUAAAGCAAAAGUAUUUUUUAUGUUUAAAAGAAAAUAUUAAAAAUAUGCUUUUCAUUCACUUUGCAAAAC